UACAGAGGGAGCUAGCGUUGUUCGGAAUUACUGGGCGUAAAGCGCACGUAGGCGGCUUUCUAAGUCAGGGGUGAAAUCCCGGGGCUCAACCCCGGAACUGCCCUUGAAACUGGAUGGCUAGAAUCCUGGAGAGGCGAGUGGAAUUCCGAGUGUAGAGGUGAAAUUCGUAGAUAUUCGGAAGAACACCAGUGGCGAAGGCGACUCGCUGGACAGGUAUUGACGCUGAGGUGCGAAAGCGUGGGGAGCAAACAGG
rnacentral:rRNA from 1 species